GGGGGCGCGGAGGGAUACCGCCCCGGGACAAUCACGGCCGCCACGUGCGGCAGGCGUCGGGCGGGCGCGGUGGCGUUGCGGCGGAUGGCCGAUCGCGGACCCCGGGCCGGUGGAGAGGGUGGCCCUGUCGCUCUCGGCACCCUAGGAACAGCAGCCGCAGGGACGCCUUGGAGCCCCGCGGCCGGUCCGCGAUGUGCUUUUCUUCUGUGUCCGCUGCCCGGGAUGCGGAAUCUUGAGCCUUGGUGUCGGGUUGCAGAGUUGCCCUGGUGACGGGAUGCGGAGCGUUUCCUCUUCUCUGUGGUGGGGGCGGCUGGUGGCAGGGUCGCCCAAGCUAAUCUCCGAGCCCUUAAGGGCACCCUCUUUCCUGGACCCCUUUUGCGUCUCGCCCAUAAAGGCAGACUCGCGGGCGCGCGCCGGCAACCUGAAAUCAGAGCAGGCGUCCGUGGCGCUCAGGCACCUUGCUGAACUUCGCCGAUCUUUCAUUGUUGCUGCAUUUGGGUACCAAGGGCCUCUCAUUCUGUGGAUUCUGUGCCUGGAAGAGCCCCCUUAGUGUUGCUAAUCACGUGUGUGCUUAAAUGGCUUGUAAAUUCCGAACAAAAUAAAUAGCGACCUGUGUUACACUGUUUCUUGGUAACUGGGAAAGUUACUGUGGCUCGAAGUAUACGCAGAAAAUACAAAGAUUAAAAACUAGGGACGAGUUCACUGAGUGAACACCAUAACAUUUCUGCUCUGCAGGGUAAAAUAAUUUCGGGACCCAGGUCUGGGCAAGAUUUGCAUUAACAAGGUAAACGGUGGGUGGAGUGCCUGAGAAGCUAUUCGUAUCGUCUUUGGUAGCCUCUGGGCACUAGGACUAGACAUGGAAUUAGGGGUCCCCCAACAAGGACUUCAGUUUUAGGUUAAUAGAAACCAUCUGCCACUUAGGAAAAGCAAGCACCAAAAUGUAGAUACGUUGAUGUUCACCCUUAAAGUUAUCGUGUAAGGUCAUGAUUUGUAGGAGGAUUAAGGAAUGUAUCUCUGGAAAGGGCAAGAACGUUGCUUUUAAAAGUCUAAUUGGUUCUGAAGUUUGAUGUUUUUUCUGCUGAUUCCUUUAAAAUGUUCGGCUACUAGAGAGAAAAAAGUACAGUAAAAGAACCCCCAAGUCGGAGACCCAUCAGACUGAGAAUAUGUAUUUUCUCAUGUUCUAAAGAUACAGAAUAGAUGUGUGGUGUAAAAUGUGAGCCAAAAAUUGUUUCAUUUUUCUAAGUGUGCCUCCCACCUGAUUUAAUUACACUUAAUUGUUCUUGUUUAUAACUGCCUUUUAUGGUGAUGUUGAUCAUUUUAGUCCUUCGAUCAUAGCACUGUAUCAUCUUAAAAGUUAAUAAUAGAUUACUUGUAACACUGGCUCACUAUGUGAGAAUUCAUAAAGCUGUAUGUACAUUUAUUAUUGUACUCUUCAUUGUAUGUAUAAUUCAAUAAAUUGAAACAGUAAACAAAAAGGUAAUGAUAGAAAAAAUAAAGUGAU